GAUGAACGCUAGCGGCAGGCCUAACACAUGCAAGUCGAGGGGCAGCGGGAAAGUAGCUUGCUACUUUUGCCGGCGACCGGCGCACGGGUGCGUAACGCGUAUGUAACCUACCUUAAACAGGGGCAUAACACUGAGAAAUUGGUACUAAUUCCCCAUAAUACUUUAGGAGGCAUCUUCUGAAGUUGAAAGUUCCGGCGGUUUAAGAUGGACAUGCGUUGUAUUAGUUAGUUGGUGAGGUAACGGCUCACCAAGACGACGAUACAUAGGGGGACUGAGAGGUUAACCCCCCACAUUGGUACUGAGACACGGACCAAACUCCUACGGGAGGCAGCAGUGAGGAAUAUUGGGUCAAUGGACGCAAGUCUGAACCAGCCAUGCCGCGUGCAGGAUGACGGCUCUAUGAGUUGUAAACUGCUUUUGUAUGAGGGUAAAUGUAGGUACGUGUACCUAUUUGAAAGUAUCAUACGAAUAAGGAUCGGCUAAACUCCGUG
rnacentral:rRNA from 1 species